AUUUAUAUAGUUUAAAUAAAACAAUACAUUUUCAUUGUAUAAAUAAUACAUUUAUUUAUAAAUA
rnacentral:tRNA from 1 species